CUAUUUUCACGCAUGCGCGUUUUUUAUUUUACAUAAUGUAUGUCCACGACCACUCCCACUCAUAAAACUACUCGCAUGCUUUAUUUGAAAAAUCUUUGAGUUUACGGAGUUUACUUCAGUUUACUCACGUGUUUGGACUUGGAGGACUGAAAACUGAUAAACAGGGAAUUAAGGAUUCAGAGCUGAAAGAAACAAUAACACAAGAAACAUGGAUGGAGCUCGCCCAGCGAUUAGAUCAUCAAACAGAGGAUUUUUCGGCGUCUUCAAGGGGAUUUACAACGAUGAAUUCCAGUGGUCAUUGGUGAAGAGCCUGGCUAUGUUUGGUGUCGGCGUUUGGGUUGCUAGACAGUGCGACGGCGUCGAUCUCAUGUCUCCAGUGCCACCAGCGUAAUUCCUCAAAUGUGUGGUUGUUGCUAAAAUUAAUGAUUCCGUUUCAUCUGUUUGUUAUGUAAAUAAAUCAGCUAGCUAUAACUACA